rnacentral:rRNA from 1 species
ACUCCUACGGGAGGCAGCAGUGGGGAAUCUUAGACAAUGGGGGCAACCCUGAUCUAGCCAUGCCGCGUGAGUGACGAAGGCCUUAGGGUCGUAAAGCUCUUUCGCUGGAGAAGAUAAUGACGGUAUCCAGUAAAGAAACCCCGGCUAACUCCGUGCCAGCAGCCGCGGUAAUACGGGGGUGCAAGCGUUAAUCGGAGUUAUUGGGCGUAAAGGGUGCGUAGGUUGUUAUUUAAGUCAUGUGGGAAAUACCUGGGCUCAACCUGGGAAUGACGGAUGAUACUGAAUGACUAGAGUAUAGUAGAGGGUAGUGGAAUUUCCGGUGUAGCGGUGAAAUGCGUAGAGAUCGGAAGGAACACCAGUGGCGAAGGCGGCUACCUGGACUAAUACUGACACUGAGGCACGAAGCGUGGGUAGCAACAGGAUUAGAUACCCUGGUAGGUC